GCAAGCAAAACUUUCAUGAAGUUGAUGUGACUUCUGCAUCUCAUUGCACUGCGUGAAGAGGAAAACCAGUGGGACUGAUGUAUUAUAUGAAUUUUCCCUGAAUGUUCAGAAAGCACUGUUUAAAUAUUUUUAUCCAAUCAGUUUUUUUAAUAUAGUGAGCACUUUGAGCAAAAUGUUGUAUAUAUAAGCAUUGAGGUGAACACUUGUAAGAAUUUUCUUAAUAUAUGCUGUAAACCUUUUUCAUGCCAUAUUAAGAAAAAACAGCUGUGACAGAAAUACUGGGUACAUAAUUUGCACUUUUUCAUGUUUUCCUUGUGGAGUUGGACUUUGAUAAACUUAGUUUUUAUGGUGAUUUUGAUGCAUGGUGUCAGGUAAAAUGUAUGCUGUAGUUUAUUUACCUGCUACAAUCAAAUUGGUUAGUAAACAAUUAAGAAAACUUGGUACAAGGCCUUUUAAAAUUUGUGACAGCUAAUACCUAACAUUCAUACAGAUCUAACUUCAUAUAUUUUUUGAUUUAUAAUCUGAAGAAUAAUUUUGAAGUAUUACAGCAAUAAGUACCUUACCAGGGAUCAUAACUGGUAGGUAAAUAUUAGCUUUUAUAAAACAGGUUUCUGGCCAAAUUUCAUCUAGAGUUCUCCAUAACACUGGUAAUGCCCUCUGGGUCUAUUUAUAUUAUUUACCUCAGCACAUUUACCAGUUAAAUACCUUUCUAUAAAGACAACUGUUUUGUAAAAUGGCUCUAUGUUGCACUGGUAUUUUUAUAAGGCUUCGGAGGAGGGUGGUGUAUCUGAAAGGUCGAAUUUACAUUACUAAAUUUGUUUUGAGAGCCUGCACAUCUGCAGCUGGUGCAGUGAAGAAUCUGUGCAUAUUUCCUUUCCACCCUGCUAUUCAGUUCCUAGUUGGAAGAAGAGCUCUUUUUUUUUCCCCCAGUCCCACUGCAAACCAAUUGCACAUGUGUUCCAGAGGUGUUGCUCUUGGGAGUGGGAAGAGCCUGACUUGCAUGGAGGGCAGCUUGCAGCACACCAAAAACGGGUUUAUGUGA
rnacentral:lncRNA from 1 species